GAUGAACGCUGGCGGCGUGCCUAAUACAUGCAAGUCGAGCGAAUGGAUUAAGAGCUUGCUCUUAUGAAGUUAGCAGCGGACGGGUGAGUAACACGUGGGUAACCUGCCCAUAAGACUGGGAUAACUCCGGGAAACCGGGGCUAAUACCGGAUAACAUUUUGAACCGCAUGGUUCGAAAUUGAAAGGCGGCUUCGGCUGUCACUUAUGGAUGGACCCGCGUCGCAUUAGCUAGUUGGUGAGGUAACGGCUCACCAAGGCAACGAUGCGUAGCCGACCAGAGAGGGUGAUCGGCCACACUGGGACUGAGACACGGCCCAGACUCCUACGGGAGGCAGCAGUAGGGAAUCUUCCGCAAUGGACGAAAGUCUGACGGAGCAACGCCGCGUGAGUGAUGAAGGCUUUCGGGUCGUAAGACUCUGUUGUUAGGGAAGAACAAGUGCUAGUUGAAUAAGCUGGCACCUUGACGGUACCUAACCAGAAAGCCACGGCUAACUACGUGCCAGCCGCCGCGGUAA
rnacentral:rRNA from 1 species